CCUACGGGAGGCAGCAGUGAGGAAUAUUGGUCAAUGGACGCGAGUCUGAACCAGCCAAGUAGCGUGAAGGAUGACUGCCCUAUGGGUUGUAAACUUCUUUUAUCUGGGAAUAAAAUGUUCCACGUGUGGGAUUUUGUAUGUACCAUAUGAAUAAGGAUCGGCUAACUCCGUGCCAGCAGCCGCGGUAAUACGGAGGGUCCGAGCGUUAUCCGGAUUUAUUGGGUUUAAAGGGAGCGUAGGUGGAUUGUUAAGUCAGUUGUGAAAGUUUGCGGCUCAACCGUAAAAUUGCAGUUGAAACUGGCAGGCUUGAGUACAGUAGAGGUGGGCGGAAUUCGUGGUGUAGCGGUGAAAUGCUUAGAUAUCACGAAGAACUCCGAUUGCGAAGGCAGCUCACUGGACUGCAACUGACACUGAGGCGCGAAAGUGUGGGUAUCAAACAGGAUUAGAUACCCUGGUAGUC
rnacentral:rRNA from 1 species